GCGGCCUCAGAUCGAGCGAGACCCACCCGCUGAACUUAAGCAUAUCAAUA
rnacentral:rRNA from 1 species